UUAUCGUAUUCCUUUUUUUUUUAGCCACAAGAGGGCACUGAAUCAUAGCUCUUGAUAUCAGGUCCUCAGGCGCUUUCUCAAUAAAAAUAGCUCGUUCCAGGCCAUUAGACCACAGAGUGCAACCCACCCAUUUUUCCAGUUGCCUUGGUUCUGGUAUUUUCACAAUCAUUUUAUUUUACUUUCAAGAAUUGAGUCGCAGCAUUGCACAAACCUUGUCCCCAGCUCGUGGCUCCCACCAAUUUCCAGGUGAAGGAAUCCUCGCAAGCCAACGGACCACCGCUGUCACCCUGUUACCAACAUAGACAAGAAGUUUCCCUGUCCUGUAGGUCCUUCAGGGAAUAGAUCCUCCAUUUAUAUCAGCCCCAACAUCUACACUUGCUGCAGACUCCAGUUCAUCUGGAUUAGCCAUGACUCACUUCAAACGCUCAUCUUAACAGUACCCAAACAUAUGCAGUUCAUUUCAGAUUAGACUGGGGAAAGACAGCAAAAGAAGUAGAAACAAGCUGCCACAUGUGUCUCAAGCGGCUUCCUUCAUCUGUGAAGUUACAGCUUACACACAAUGACAACAUAACCGAUACGAAGCAUAAAAGCAUCCAGUGGACAGCCAUGGCAAAGGCAUCAGGGCCCCAAAUACCAA